rnacentral:sRNA from 1 species
UUCGUGUCUGCUGAGAAAUGUAUUAUUGUUCAAGGGAAAGCCACAAGGAAAAUCACAAAGGAGUUCCCACAAUUUGGAGUUCAAAACGUGCUCUUCCUUCCUUUCGCACGCCAAUGCCAGUGCAGACACUUAUUAAUGAAAUCGGAUACGAGUCCACGUGUACAGGACCAAAUGCAAAACUGCAAAAUUGUUUGUCGCUUGGACCCGAUGAUUAUCUGCCCGACUGUGACACGGACAUGGACAUGGCCACGGGCGGACUGACAGCUGGCGCCUGCCUGGUCAUGUUUAAAUGAAAACCGAACUAGAGUCCAAUUUCUGCACUGCCCCUGCGGCUGGACGAGUGUCUGCCCGCUCCACGGGACACGCACCACGGUGCACGGCCCACUCGGCGCACUUUAUACAUGUAUAUCACAAAAGAUCGUUUUGUGGUCACAUUGGCAACCGGAGCUGGAGCUGGAGCCGGUGCCGGGGUCGGGGCCAAACACUUCACAUAAAUUGCAUUAAAACGCGUAGGAUGGUGCUCCACUGUCCUCACUGCGUGGGUUUGGGGCAGCGCCAAACAAACUAACAAUGGAAGAGCGGACACAAGGACACACGGACACACGGACACGCGGACACACGGACAUAAACAUGCUGCAAAAUGUUUGCCGGCUCUAAAACCAAAAUUGAAUUUGCGGUUGCACGCCCCAGGGCGUGGUGGUGUGGAUUGUGGGCCCGCGUGCAGGUGGGGCAAUGCAAAUAACUGUAAAUGAAGCUAAAAUGCGGUCAGAAAAUGGCAAGGCAAUAAAAAUAAUGGGCAAGUGCUUACUGGAGCCUGCAGCCAACAGUGCGUAUGUACAUAUAUUGGCCGGGAGGGGGGAACCAGAAACAAAAGUCGGUCAGAUUGAUAAUGAACAGCGGACGGGGGAGAAUUACCCACAACAACUACCUUUUUGCACAUAGAACACAAAUUGAUAUGAUAGGAUUAUGCAUUCGAUGGUUGUACACAUCAUUUCGAGGCAAUAUGCCCAAUCCUUUGACGUGAAUAUGAAUUCCGACAGGGGAUGUCAGAGUGGGCUACUAUGAUCCCAAACAAAACAUAAAAUCCAAAUUCGAGGGAGAAUAGAAUGCUUUUCAAAGUGACAUUUUGUUGAGAUUUAUUUGGAAAUAAAUAUUUAUUUAGUUGAGCCUGGAUAGGCCUCGGGUCUAGGUCGGAUCUUUCGACUAGAGGUGCUCCUGAAAUAUAUUCAUAAAGGGAAGGACGAUCCACCAACAAGCAGUCGGUGCGGGUCCAUGCUUUGUACUGGGAACCUUAUGGCUAUUAAGUACCUUCGGGUUGCAGAACAGCAGCAUUAAUUUGUCGGGCUUGUACAGCAGAUGGCGGGUGUGUUUGCCAAGCACUACAUUUUCCUAGACCAAGACUCGGCCUUAAUGACGAUGAUGAUGAAUUGAUGAGGCUUCUGCCAGCAUAUAGGCGACACUUUAGGCGCCGCGGGACCACUGCUGCAGGCGCUUGUUGACUCCAUGUGGCAUGUCUUCUAAGGAGCCUGGAAUCUUCGCCUCGUCGCAGCCCGAAACCUCUUGCGAAGCCAGGAGCUAUCCAGCAGUAUGUGUCCAUGGAUAGCUGUCUGUCAUAGGUCACCCGAACAUCAGCAGCAAAGGGCCUUUUGUUCAAGAUGCAGGACUCCCAACCUUUCGUCACAUUCCCCCUCGUCGAAGGUCGAAGUGGCAGCCUCCAGGUCCCUCCAGGAACUCAACGCCUUUGUUUUUUUUUGUAUGAAACAUCCUUUUGCUGGACGGAAUGGCCAUUUUAAAGUUUGCCAGAUCCUUUGAUACAUCCUCCGGUCCUGCAAGAUGGCAGUCGAGACGGCACAGAUGCCACUAUUUUCAAGGAUUCCUUUAUCACUGGAAAUGAUGGCAGUAAUGUCGUCUAGGCUGCUAUCUCACAGAGUCGAAGGACACGAAGGAGUUGUCCGAGGACCUGGCCAACUUUAAAUGAUCGGAGUAGUGAUCGUUUUUUGUAUCUAUCCGGAUAGAGAUUACCUAUUGAAUGUUGCCCCAAGGCUGUGUUGAAUUUCAUCAAAAUUUACAAGAUAUAUUUGUAUCAAUAAAUUUGUAUAUUUUUUAGAG